rnacentral:rRNA from 1 species
UACAGAGGUCUCGAGCGUUAGGCGGAAUCACUGGGCUUAAAGCGUGUGUAGGCGGAUCGUUAAGUACCUUGUGAAAUCCCACGGCUUAACCGUGGAACUGCUUGGUAUACUGGCGGUCUUGAGCCAGCUAGGGGCGACCGGAACAAAUGGUGGAGCGGUGAAAUGCGUAGAUAUCAUUUGGAACGCCAAUGGUGAAAACAGGUCGCUGGGGCUGUGCUGACGCUGAGGUGCGAAAGCGUGGGGAGCAAACAGG